UACGUAGGGUGCAAGCGUUAAUCGGAAUUACUGGGCGUAAAGCGUGCGCAGGCGGUUUUGUAAGUUUGUCGUGAAAGCCCCGGGCUCAACCUGGGAAUUGCAUUUGAGACUGCAUAGCUAGGGUGCGGAAGAGGGAAGCGGAAUUUCCGGUGUAGCGGUGAAAUGCGUAGAUAUCGGAAGGAACACCAGUGGCGAAAGCGGCUUCCUGGUCCAGCACCGACGUUCAGGCACGAAAGCGUGGGGAGCAAACAGG
rnacentral:rRNA from 1 species